CCUACGGGAGGCUGCAGUGGGGAAUCUUAGACAAUGGGCGCAAGCCUGAUCUAGCCAUGCCGCGUGAUCGAUGAAGGCUAGGGUUGUAAAGAUCUUUCAGGUGGGAAGCGGUACCACCAGAAGAAGCCCCGGCUAACUCCGUGCCAGCAGCCGCGGUAAUACGGAGGGGGCUAGCGUUGUUCGGAAUUACUGGGCGUAAAGCGCACGUAGGCGGAUCGGAAAGUCAGAGGUGAAAUCCCAGGGCUCAACCUUGGAACUGCCUUUGAAACUCCCGGUCUUGAGUUCGAGAGAGGUGAGUGGAAUUCCGAGUGUAGAGGUGAAAUUCGUAGAUAUUCGGAGGAACACCAGUGGCGAAGGCGGCUCACUGGCUCGAACUGACGCUGAGGUGCGAAAGCGUGGGGAGCAAACAGGAUUAGAUACCCUUGUAGUC
rnacentral:rRNA from 1 species